rnacentral:lncRNA from 1 species
AUAUUUUUAAGUUUUUUCUCUUCCUAUUUUUAAAUUGUAUAUGAACUGAAAUUAGUGUUCCGUGGAUUGCGGCGCAGCAUCGUGGGGAAAAGCGGAGAUAGAUUUGGAGUCAAUGAGAGGAGAAAUAAAUGGUAGAUUUGGAGAGAUCCGUACGUACGUGAUCAACGUGGCUGUAACAAAAAGGUGGUCGACGUCAACAAUAGCAGCAAAGAUGAUGUGGAGAUGGAGAUUCGUUUUCUCGAUGUCGGCAGUGCGAUCAAGAUGCAUAUAGAGUAAUAAUUCUAUUUAUUGCUGCUUUUUUUAUUACUAGUUUUAUAAUUUAUUUGCUAAAAUUGUAAGUUUUGUUAUUGUUUCAUCUCUUCUAUUUGUAUAUAUAUUAAUAUAUAUUAUCUUUAUUUAUUAAUGCUUAUGGCAAUUCAAAAAAAUUUAAAAUUUUUAUUUUGUUAAUCUUUUAUCUUCUAUAGCAUCAGUCCGCCGCAAUGCGCGGGUGACUUCACUAGUACUUAUUAUUUGAGAACCCAAAGGAAGCCUACCCGGGUUCGAGGGUCUUCCGAUGGGGCCCACUUUUUUUUUUUUUCCUCCCUCUCACUCUCUCUGUCUCUCUCUCUCUCACUCAGUCACUCUCUCUCACUUUCUUUCCUUUUUUUUUCUCAAUAAUUUUUUUUUAUUUUUGCUUAAAACAAGUAUAAAAUUUUAUCGUAUGAAUCAACACUAUUUUUUAAUAGUCAAUAUAACAAAAUUAAAAUUUCAUCUAAUAAAUAUCAACAUCUUUUUUUUUAUUUUUUUCUACAUCAAGUAUAAAAUUUUAUCGCAUAAAGAAAUCCUAUUUUUUAAUAGUUAAGAUAACAAAAUUAAAAUUUAAUCUAAUUGGGAACCUAAAAAAGACCUUUUUUAUUUUAGAG